GAUGAUUUGCGGGAUUCUCCGUGAGGCACGGCCGAACCGCGGGAGGCGCAGCCAGCCUAGAUCUGCGCGCUGGCGGCUGGGCGACCUGCGGGAAGGUAGGCGACCCUCUGGGCAGAACGAAAACAGAGGCCCAAAGUCGUGCGUCCCGGUGCCAGCCCGGGAAUUGCACCGCCAUCGCGCAGGCCACUCUCCAGCUACUCCAGGAGAGACCUGGGUAGAGGACUUCCAUACCAUUUGUGGAGAUUCCUCUCUCACUGAUAAGUCUGAGAUAACUUCAACGCUGUCUAAAGCCGUACAAUAAAUGCUAAGUCCUCCCUGGCACUGGAGGAGAUCCUGGGACCUCUCCUUAUUGCUCUUCCUGGGUUAGAGAAUCAUUGCGGUAAGUUUGGUCCCGCCUGGGCGCAGAACUAGGCAGUGCGUGGGAGCAGCCACCCGGAACUUAGGAAAGCGUGUACCUCCGUGCCCUCCAGCCCACCCACGCAUGGCCUAGGACACUUGAUUUGCUUACGUUGCAAAUUGGGGGUGGUGGUAAGGAUUGGAUAGAGACCGGCUUCAGUUGGGGAGGUGACAGUUUCUUGUUUUUGUUUUAAGAGAAACAAAGUCUUCUCGGGAACGCUUCAGAAAGGCCAAGCCCACCUAGAGAAGUGACCUUUUUCCAUUACAAUGACUUUACUGUCACCAGGUUCCAGGACACACCUGCUGCCCUCCAACAUUUUCCCACGUUCGGUUCUAAAGGGAGAUAAAUUGAUUGACAAGAACUGGAGGCUGCAGUGACUUCGCUGUGUUCGUUUGUGUUGGUGGUUGUGAGUGGAUAAGGCGCAUGCAGGGGCAGGUCUCUUAUAUGACCUUUACAGGGGUACAGGCAGAAACAGGAGAGCCUGGGGUAGAUUCCUGAACCCCUGAAACUUCUGAAAGGGGACUCAGAUCCAGACCCGACAGGUACUCAGCCUCAGAUUUGAAAGAGCAGUGGAAUUUUGAAAAGAAUAAAACAAACCCACGCCCACCCAUUCAUGUCUCUUUCAGCUUGGUACUUAGUGAUCAGUUUUAACAAGUCCGGGAUUUCGCUGCAGGGCUCGAUUUCCCGAAGCCCUGUAGCUAUAUCAGUGACCCUAGAAGGAAGAGGCUGUUCACCUGUAGUCAAGGGUGCCAGGGUUCAAGACCUAACAUUGCCACCUGGCAAACUACCCCUCCUUUGGAGGCCUCAGGAUUUUAAAUAAUCUAACCAAAUCCGAGAUUAAUUGAAUCCCUUAAAACCUUAGUAUUUAAUGAGUUUUUUUCUUUUCUUUUCACUGGGACAAAGGAGUGUGUUGGCCCCACCCCUGCCCAAAGGCAAAAGCAGGGUCUCUUCAGCUGGGUUCAAGAUAAAGAAAAAUCACUUGGCUCUUUUCCUUGAAAACAAGACUUUCCCAGAAAGAAGCUCCCGGACCCAAGCCUCACAACUACAUGGGUUUAACCGCUACACUCCGGGAGAGCUCACCCGUGGCGUGGCUGAGCCUUCCUGGUACAAUUGUCCCCUCAGCCCAAGGUUGUUCUACUUUGUCGGCUGGGAGGCGGACUCCGUGAAGGAAGUCAGGGGCCCAGCUCCCUCGCUGUGCUUUCUCUGAGGAAACCCUACAAGUGUCCCCAACGCACUAGGAACAAUCCAGAAUGGCCGGGCGCAAUUGAAAUAACAAAUGCGAGGCACGCAAAUUGUCCCCCUCCAGUUGCUAAGCGAUUGUUUGUCGCCCCGCAUGCCCAGCUCAGCAUGGGAGAACCAGCGAGUCCGGAGGCAGCCAGCGAGGCUUCGGUGAGAAAUAAGUAAACACGCAGUUGAUUUUCUCUAUUAUCACACAAACACGAUUUCACACAAAGCAAUCACCACGCAGAAGUCUAUGAAAAUGUGUUUGUUGGGGGACUCACUUGUCCCAGUAAUAGCCCUCAUUUUUAAGCUAUUAAAGACCAGAUCAGUGGAUUCCACGUGCAUAAGGUAUAUCUGCUGUUUGGGGUCUUUUGAAGACUCUGGUACCAUCAUCAUCUCCGAAUUGAUUCGGAGUGUUGAAUUCAAUUGCUUUUCUAAUUUAAAACCUAGAGCCCAAGUUUGGAGUGCUCAUCUGGCUAUCUUUCAGAGGGCUGUCUCCCCAUUAUCCUUAUAUCCCAGCCUCAUCGCUUUUCUCUUCCCUUGGGGAUGGGGGUGGGGUGGGGGCGGGGGACGGGUCAGAGGCCCCAACUCCUCAGGGUUUAUUUCUUAAACACUCAAUUUCUGGCCUGUACAUGGAGCAAUUUCUAAUUAGACAUUUUAGGUAGGGUUUUUAGGUACGUGGUUUAGGUAGGAGUUUUUUGAGCUAUGUGCAAAAAAAAAAAAAAAAAAAAAAAAAGCUGAUGCGUCCUUUUCAGAAGUAUGUGAGAUACUGUAAGAGAGACAUAGGAAUUAGGAAAAAUAGACGAACCCUCACGGGAACCAGAGCGUACUGAGACCUCCUACGGUUUUAACCAAGCAAAUUGGUUUUGCUGUUUGCAUUUUGGCUUUUUUUUUUUUCCAGUGUCUCAAAAACAGUUUCCUGUUUCUGCUGCUCCUUGGAGGAUGUCUCAGGAGCUCCGAGUGAUCUUCCUCCGGGAGUUUGGAACUGUGCCGCUGAGCAGAGAGCUCAGAACCACCUUAAUGUAGGGCACAGCCAGCAGAAUGUGGGGACUGCGGCUUCCGAUCCUUGGACAUUAGCUAGCUGAUUCUUUGUUAGAAAUUUUGCAAGUUCGAAAUAAAAUAACACUAAUCAAAGUGUUAGGAAAGUGCCCCAGAAUCCUGGGAGGGAAAAGGAUGUCCCCCUAAAUGACGCGUUUCCCAGGGCCUCGGGAAGAGAAAAUAACUUGGGCUUCCCGGUUUGCAGAGAGCAGCUGAGUUAUUUACCCAAAGCUCGUUUCAAAGUGACUCCGCAGCACCGAGGCUUUUGUAAAUCACAGAAUGCAAAUGAGGAUAAUUUGUUCUUAAAGGAACUUUCUCUUGAAAUGAUUAGCAAAGUCAGUCAUUU
rnacentral:lncRNA from 1 species